rnacentral:rRNA from 1 species
UACGUAGGUGGCAAGCGUUGUCCGGAUUUACUGGGCGUAAAGGAUGCGUAGGCGGAUAUUUAAGUGAGAUGUGAAAUUCCCGAGCUUAACUUGGGAGCUGCAUUUCAAACUGGAUAUCUAGAGUGCGGGAGAGGAGAAUGGAAUUCCUAGUGUAGCGGUGAAAUGCGUAGAGAUUAGGAAGAACACCAGUGGCGAAGGCGAUUCUCUGGACCGUAACUGACGCUGAGGCAUGAAAGCGUGGGUAGCAAACAGG